CCUCCUAUGAUUCAGUUGGUAGAGCGCAUGACUAUUAAUCAUGAGCUUCGUGGUUCGAAUCCGCGUGGGAGUA